rnacentral:tmRNA from 1 species
GGGGGCGACUGGUUUCGACAUGGUAUGUUUGAACUGAGGAGCAGGUCGUGGUCUCCUCGCCACGUAAAACAGGGGUAACGUCAAGUUAAUUGGCAAGAAGAACUAUCAGAGCGCUCCUGCGCUCGCCAUGGCUGCUUAAUCAGCACCUGGCACGUCAACCCCGAGUUGUCCCCGACUCGGGUGCGACGUCAUUUUAGGGGACUGCAUCAAAGCACGUAAUCGGUAUGGCUUUGGUAAAGAUCGAACCGAUCCGGGUCGGCAACGUUAGUUCGCGGACCGAGACGGCCUUGAACCUGAACGCGAAAUAAGCUUGUAGAGCCUCAGCGAGAAUAUAGUAUGGACCGGAGUUCGAUUCUCCGCGCCUCCACCA